rnacentral:rRNA from 1 species
GGGUUGUGAGGUUAAGCGACUAAGCGUACACGGUGGAUGCCCUGGCAGUCAGAGGCGAUGAAGGACGUGCUAAUCUGCGAUAAGCGUCGGUAAGGUGAUAUGAACCGUUAUAACCGGCGAUUUCCGAAUGGGGAAACCCAGUGUGUUUCGACACACUAUCAUUAACUGAAUCCAUAGGUUAAUGAGGCGAACCGGGGGAACUGAAACAUCUAAGUACCCCGAGGAAAAGAAAUCAACCGAGAUUCCCCCAGUAGCGGCGAGCGAACGGGGAGCAGCCCAGAGCCUGAAUCAGUGUGUGUGUUAGUGGAAGCGUCUGGAAAGGCGCGCGAUACAGGGUGACAGCCCCGUACACAAAAAUGCACAUGCUGUGAGCUCGAUGAGUAGGGCGGGACACGUGGUAUCCUGUCUGAAUAUGGGGGGACCAUCCUCCAAGGCUAAAUACUCCUGACUGACCGAUAGUGAACCAGUACCGUGAGGGAAAGGCGAAAAGAACCCCGGCGAGGGGAGUGAAAAAGAACCUGAAACCGUGUACGUACAAGCAGUGGGAGCACGCUUAGGCGUGUGACUGCGUACCUUUUGUAUAAUGGGUCAGCGACUUAUAUUCUGUAGCAAGGUUAACCGAAUAGGGGAGCCGAAGGGAAACCGAGUCUUAACUGGGCGUUAAGUUGCAGGGUAUAGACCCGAAACCCGGUGAUCUAGCCAUGGGCAGGUUGAAGGUUGGGUAACACUAACUGGAGGACCGAACCGACUAAUGUUGAAAAAUUAGCGGAUGACUUGUGGCUGGGGGUGAAAGGCCAAUCAAACCGGGAGAUAGCUGGUUCUCCCCGAAAGCUAUUUAGGUAGCGCCUCGUGAAUUCAUCUCCGGGGGUAGAGCACUGUUUCGGCAAGGGGGUCAUCCCGACUUACCAACCCGAUGCAAACUGCGAAUACCGGAGAAUGUUAUCACGGGAGACACACGGCGGGUGCUAACGUCCGUCGUGAAGAGGGAAACAACCCAGACCGCCAGCUAAGGUCCCAAAGUCAUGGUUAAGUGGGAAACGAUGUGGGAAGGCCCAGACAGCCAGGAUGUUGGCUUAGAAGCAGCCAUCAUUUAAAGAAAGCGUAAUAGCUCACUGGUCGAGUCGGCCUGCGCGGAAGAUGUAACGGGGCUAAACCAUGCACCGAAGCUGCGGCAGCGACACUGUGUGUUGUUGGGUAGGGGAGCGUUCUGUAAGCCUGUGAAGGUGUGCUGUGAGGCAUGCUGGAGGUAUCAGAAGUGCGAAUGCUGACAUAAGUAACGAUAAAGCGGGUGAAAAGCCCGCUCGCCGGAAGACCAAGGGUUCCUGUCCAACGUUAAUCGGGGCAGGGUGAGUCGACCCCUAAGGCGAGGCCGAAAGGCGUAGUCGAUGGGAAACAGGUUAAUAUUCCUGUACUUGGUGUUACUGCGAAGGGGGGACGGAGAAGGCUAUGUUGGCCGGGCGACGGUUGUCCCGGUUUAAGCGUGUAGGCUGGUUUUCCAGGCAAAUCCGGAAAAUCAAGGCUGAGGCGUGAUGACGAGGCACUACGGUGCUGAAGCAACAAAUGCCCUGCUUCCAGGAAAAUCCUCUAAGCAUCAGGUAACAUCAAAUCGUACCCCAAACCGACACAGGUGGUCAGGUAGAGAAUACCAAGGCGCUUGAGAGAACUCGGGUGAAGGAACUAGGCAAAAUGGUGCCGUAACUUCGGGAGAAGGCACGCUGAUAUGUAGGUGAAGCGACUUGCUCGUGGAGCUGAAAUCAGUCGAAGAUACCAGCUGGCUGCAACUGUUUAUUAAAAACACAGCACUGUGCAAACACGAAAGUGGACGUAUACGGUGUGACGCCUGCCCGGUGCCGGAAGGUUAAUUGAUGGGGUCAGCGCAAGCGAAGCUCUUGAUCGAAGCCCCGGUAAACGGCGGCCGUAACUAUAACGGUCCUAAGGUAGCGAAAUUCCUUGUCGGGUAAGUUCCGACCUGCACGAAUGGCGUAAUGAUGGCCAGGCUGUCUCCACCCGAGACUCAGUGAAAUUGAACUCGCUGUGAAGAUGCAGUGUACCCGCGGCAAGACGGAAAGACCCCGUGAACCUUUACUAUAGCUUGACACUGAACAUUGAGCCUUGAUGUGUAGGAUAGGUGGGAGGCUUAGAAGUGUGGACGCCAGUCUGCAUGGAGCCGACCUUGAAAUACCACCCUUUAAUGUUUGAUGUUCUAACGUUGACCCGUAAUCCGGGUUGCGGACAGUGUCUGGUGGGUAGUUUGACUGGGGCGGUCUCCUCCUAAAGAGUAACGGAGGAGCACGAAGGUUGGCUAAUCCUGGUCGGACAUCAGGAGGUUAGUGCAAUGGCAUAAGCCAGCUUGACUGCGAGCGUGACGGCGCGAGCAGGUGCGAAAGCAGGUCAUAGUGAUCCGGUGGUUCUGAAUGGAAGGGCCAUCGCUCAACGGAUAAAAGGUACUCCGGGGAUAACAGGCUGAUACCGCCCAAGAGUUCAUAUCGACGGCGGUGUUUGGCACCUCGAUGUCGGCUCAUCACAUCCUGGGGCUGAAGUAGGUCCCAAGGGUAUGGCUGUUCGCCAUUUAAAGUGGUACGCGAGCUGGGUUUAGAACGUCGUGAGACAGUUCGGUCCCUAUCUGCCGUGGGCGCUGGAGAACUGAGGGGGGCUGCUCCUAGUACGAGAGGACCGGAGUGGACGCAUCACUGGUGUUCGGGUUGUCAUGCCAAUGGCACUGCCCGGUAGCUAAAUGCGGAAGAGAUAAGUGCUGAAAGCAUCUAAGCACGAAACUUGCCCCGAGAUGAGUUCUCCCUGACCCUUUAAGGGUCCUGAAGGAACGUUGAAGACGACGACGUUGAUAGGCCGGGUGUGUAAGCGCAGCGAUGCGUUGAGCUAACCGGUACUAAUGAACCGUGAGGCUUAACCUUACAACGCCGAAGGUGUUU